GCUGACACAUCCCUGCCAAUCUCCGGCAGACCCUCCCUCCCAGACCCUCCCACCUCCUGGACAGCAUCCAUGUUGAAGCUGCCUUCAACAUGGAUGCUGUCCAGGAAGUAGGAGGGUCUGGGAGGGAGGGUCUGCUGGAGAUUGACCGGGAUGUGUCAG